rnacentral:rRNA from 1 species
GGACCCGACCGCUAUCGGGGUGGGGCUAAGCCAUGGGAGUCGUACGCCCCGGUCACUGGGGCGUGGCGGACGGCUGAGUAAUACGUGGCUAACCUACCCUCGGGACGGGGAUAGCCUCGGGAAACUGAGGCUAAUCCCCGAUAGGUAGGGACUCCUGGAAGGGGCCCUACCGAAAGGGCUACGCGGGGAUGUCCGCGUAGCCGCCCGAGGAUGGGGCCACGGCCCAUCAGGUAGUUGGCGGGGUAACGGCCCGCCAAGCCUAUAACGGGUAGGGGCCGUGAGAGCGGGAGCCCCCAGAUGGGCCCUGAGACAAGGGCCCAGGCCCUACGGGGCGCACCAGGCGCGAAACCUCCGCAAUGCGGGAAACCGUGACGGGGUCACCCCGAGUGCCCCGAAGAGGGGCUUUUCCCCGCUGUAAAAAGGCGGGGGAAUAAGCGGGGGGCAAGUCUGGUGUCAGCCGCCGCGGUAAUACCAGCCCCGCGAGUGGUCGGGACGAUUAUUGGGCCUAAAGCGCCCGUAGCCGGCCCGGUAAGUCCCCCCUUAAAGCCCCGGGCCCAACCCGGGGACGGGGGGGAUACUGCCGGGCUAGGGGGCGGGAGAGGCCGGCGGUACUCCCGGGGUAGGGGCGAAAUCCGUUAAUCCCGGGAGGACCACCAGUGGCGAAAGCGGCCGGCUGGAACGCGCCCGACGGUGAGGGGCGAAAGCCGGGGCAGCGAACCGGAUUAGAUACCCGGGUAGUCCCGGCUGUUAAC